AACGAACGCUGGCGGCAGGCCUAACACAUGCAAGUCGAACGCUGUAGCAAUACAGAGUGGCAGACGGGUGAGUAACGCGUGGGAACAUACCCUUCGGUUCGGAACAGCUCAGGGAAACUUGAGCUAAUACCGGAUACGUGCGAGAGCAGAAAGAUUCAUCGCCGAAGGAUUGGCCCGCGUUCGAUUAGCUUGUUGGUGAGGUAACGGCUCACCAAGGCGACGAUCGANAGCUGGUCUGAGAGGAUGAUCAGCCACAUUGGGACUGAGACACGGCCCAAACUCCUACGGGAGGCAGCAGUGGGGAAUAUUGGACAAUGGGCGAAAGCCUGAUCCAGCCAUGCCGCGUGAGUGAUGAAGGCCCUAGGGUUGUAAACCUCUUUCAGCCCUGACGAAGCGAGAGUGACGGUAGGGGCAGAAGAAGCACCGGCCAACUACGUGCCAGCCGCCGCGGUAAG
rnacentral:rRNA from 1 species